UCGGACCGAGUUUGACAAAAUUAACAAGAUUUGCUGCCUCUUCUCAGUACUCUCCAUCCCAUUUGUCUCACGAUUUCAAGUCUCUAGUCCUCUCCUCUUCAUUUUUAAUCUGAUUGUCUCCGUCUCUCCAGUCUCCAGUGUCGCACCCCAAAAAAAUAUUGUUUUUCAAUAUUGCAGGUUCGAUUGGCGAAAUUUUUUAUUAUUUUUUUUAUUUGGUUCUUUGGAGUCACCACCUAGUAUUUUGGUCACUAGGAACCUAACUGGUCUCAGAGAUCGGGUACGGAGACUGGUUGCGUAAAGGGAAGGUAUUAGCACCCCAAAUACGCCCUACCUAAGGUAAGCUGCAUUGUUUUAUUGUCUGAUAAAAACAAAACUAAAGUAUUAUUGUGUUUUCCUAGUUGUUGGUCUGUAUAUGGUUCAAGAAAAAUCCCCCUCAGUAAGGAGGUCUUUAUCUUAUCGGGUAAAAAUCCUAACCGUUCUAACGUCCAUACCAAAAUUUUAUUAAUAAUAUUUAGGAAUACGUUUUACGUAUAAAUUCGUAAUCCCAAAUAUUAAAAGAAAACAAAAAGAUUUUUUUUAGAAUUUUUGAAAUAUUGGCCUAGUUCUCAUGGCUUGAAUAAACUGGUUAUUAAAGCCAAAAUGCAUGUUAAUACAUAUAUUGUUUUGAAAAUUUUCUUUGUUGUGUGAAAAUAUGAUGUUAUAAUAUUUAUGUAUAUAUAUUGGAGAGACUAGGCCGUAUUUUAAAACAAAAAAAAACAAUUUUUAGAAAAUAUUUUUUUUAUGCUUUGACGAAAAUCGGGUAUUUUAAUACUGAGCUUGUAUCCUUACGGUAUAAAAAUACAAACCAAAAUUAAACCAUUUUGAUAAAAAUAUGCAGAAAAAUCAACAAUAUUUUUAGGGAAUUUUUAGAAAUUUUUUGAAAGCAAAAACAUUUUUUAUUCUGAAAAUCUUUGAUAUUUUGACGAAAACCGGGUAUUUUUAACACUGGUUUUGUAUCUUUACAGUAUAAAAAUACAAAACCAAAUGUGUAAAACAACAAUAUAUUUAUAUGAAAAGAAAAUAACAACCAAAAUUUUUUUUUAGAUUUUUUUUCAAAGGAAAAAAAAUGUAUAUAUUUAGAUACACAUAUAAUAAUAAUAAUAUAAUAUAAUUAUAAUAUAUUUAUAUAUUAAAAAGGGGCUGGGCCGGCCCAAACCAAACUGGGCCGGACCCAGCCCUAACAGUCGUUGGGCCGACCUCGGCCCAACAGGUACUGGGCCGAACUCGGUCCAGAAGGUACUGGGCCGAACUCGGCCCAGAAGGUACUGGGCCGAACUCGGCCCAGAAACUAAUUAACCUCGGUCUGGGCCGGACCCGGCCCAGACCGCCGGACUGGGCCAGAUCCCUCUGGCCCGUCCACAUAACUCUGGGCCAGACACAAUCUGGCCCAGAGAAAAAAUAAAAAGAAAACACGGGAUUCCCCCCCCGCCUCCUGCAUGCAGAACGAUUCUGCAUGCAGGAGGCAAAACAUAUAUAUAUUAACAGAAAAAAUGCAGGGGGAGGAGAGGAGGCGUACCUGGUGCUGGCGGAGCUGCGGUGGUGGUGGCAGUGUCCUCGCUUCACGGACGGCGGCUUCUCUCUCCUCUGUUACAGGGUUUCUCUCUCUUCCUCUCUCUCUUCUUUUUUUUUCUUUGUUUCGGGGUUCCUCUCUUUCUCCUUUUUUUCGUCCCGUGUUCUCCCUUUCAGUCCUCUAUUUAUAGCACCAUGGGCGGGGCUUUUUCUCGUGGACCCAGGAGCGGGUUGAGGAGCGGCUGUCGGGGAGCGGCGGGCCUCCCUCGGCUUCGGCCACGAGGCGGGUUGUCGGCCAUUGUUUCUGUCGGUGGCCCACCGGCGUAGGGUCUCUGUCGGUUGGUAAGGGGGACCUGCAAAAAAGAAUAAAAAAUACAAAGUUUUUUUUUCUUCCCCGCUGUAACGUUCGGGGGGAAGAAGACAGUGAACAGUGCCGUUCAAAACGGCACCGUUCGGUUUCCCCCUUCUUUUUUUUUUUUUUAAUAAUUAUGCAUGAAACGGCGUCGUUUUGGACAAAACGCGCCGUUUCAUUUAAAAAAAAAACGCCAGAAACUUUGUUUUUAAAUCAGUCCCUAAUUUGUCAUUUGUUCUAUUAAGUCCUUCAAUCGAGUCCUUCAAUCAAGAAUACAAUUCAAUUGCGUCCCUGCCAAAUUCGGUCCCUACCCCUAUAGUUGGCCGCGUUUUUCACUUUGGUCCUUGGCCUCUGAUUUUCACAAUUAAGCCCUUAAUUGAUCAAAAAACUUCCAAUUUCUUCAAUUAAGCCCCUGAAACAAUUCCAAACAGCCCCCUCUAUCUUUGCGCCUUCUCCAAAAUGGUCCCUGGUUUCGGAUUUUCACAAUUAAGUCCCUAAUUGGCCAUUAAACUUCAAUAUUUAUGCAAUUAAGCCCCUGAUUUGACCCAAUAAAUUCCUAAAAAAUAUAUUUUGGCCCCAGAACUUUAAUUUCUCCAAAUUAAAGCCCAAAUUGACUUAAAAAUCAAUUUUUCUUGGAAUCAAAUCUUCUAUAAAUUCACCAUAAAAAUCCAAUUAAGUCCAUAAAAAUCCAUAAAAAUCCAAUUAAGUCCAUAAAAAUCCAAUUAAGCCCAUAAAAAUCCAAAUUUGGGCUUUUCUCCCUAAAAUUCAAAUUUUUCUUCUCAAUAGGGCUUUCAUCCUUCAAGAAUAUACUGUCAAAAAUUCAAUCCUUGUAUUUUUAAAUUCCUUGACCAAUUUUCUGACUGUUUUCCGGGCGCUUCUGCCUCCGGUUAUUUUUCUAAUCCUCUUUUGGCUAUUUAUUUUAUUUUUCAGGGGGACCCAAAAAUGGGUUGUAGGGUCAAUUGAUGUUGAACUAGCCAUAGUCACUUUCAACACCCUCUUUUUGCUACCAAUCUCCAUGGUAUUCACUCCUCCCCUACCAUCGACAUGUUUAGGUAAAGGGUUUGAAUUCUGAUUAGGUGAAUCCUCAAAAGUGACCCAUCCCACUUUGAUCAGUUGCAACACCUUUCUUUUAAAAGCAAAGCAAGACUCAAUGCUAUGGCCUGCGUGACCAGCAUGGUAUUCACAAGUCACCUCGGGGUUGUACCAGGCAGGGAAAGGUGGCUGCAUAGGUGGUAUGGGUAGGGGAGCUAUCUGCCCAAUACUCAACAGCUUGGCAUACAACUCUUUUAAGGUUAUUGGUAGAGGAGGUAGUUGUUCUUCUGACGGUUGCUUAUCCUUUCUUUGGUAAUUGUGGUGGUUAUUUGCUGGGAAUUUGGGCUGGUUUGGAGUGGGGGGUUUGGAAAAGUUAAUACUAGUGACUCGGGGGUAGGUAUUUGAUAGUUUUUGCUUCUCCUUUCUAGGUUGUUCACCUCAAUUUCUUUCUUCUUUCCAAUGAAACCUCUCUUCUCUAGAGGUUCUGCAAUUCUCCACCGGAUCCCUUGUUCAAUCCUCUCGGCGAUCCGCACGACAUCAUAGAAAUGUUGUGCUGAACUACCCAUAAGGUGUUCAUAGUAUGGAGCCCUGAAAGUAUUGGCAAACAAAGUCACCAUUUCUGUCUCUAUCAGCGGAGGUUGCACAUUGAUAGCUUGGUCUCGCCACCUUUGAGCAUAAGCCCUCACGGACUCUUGACUUCCUUUCUCCAUGCUGAUCAGACUGGUCCUAUCAGGAGCAAUCUCUAGUUAAACUUGUAUUGCUUAAGAAAGCGUCGCCAAGUCUGUCCACUUCCUGAUCCUAAUAUUGUCUAACCUCAUAUACCAACUGAGGGCCGAUCCGGUCAGGCUAUCCUGGAAGAAGUAAAUUAACAUUUUGUCGUCGUGGAUAACCUCUGCCAUUUUGUUAUAGUAGGAGCGGAGAUGGGUCUUCGGGCAUUCCAUCCCAGUAUACUUAACAAACUCCGGCACUCUGAACUUCUUUGGAAUGACAAUAUUAGGUACUAAACAUACCUCAGCGGCCCUAAUUGGGUCAAACAAAUCAUUUCCUUCAAUUGCCCUUAGCCUCUCUUCUAGGGCAGUCCACUUAUCAUCUCCUUCAUGAUUAGAGAAUUUAAAGUCAUGUGGAUCUUCGUUUGUUAAAUCCAUUGUAAUAGGGAUUUGGAUGGGCCGAGCAGGACUCUGCUUAGUUGGUGUAUUUGCCCCUAUGUUUAUAGGUGCGACAGGGAUUUGAGCUGCUGCUGGUGCUUCAUUAGGUUGAGUAGAUGUUCCUUCUCCAUCUUUGGCUCUCAAUAUCUGCUCUAACAUACGAGUUAGGUUCGCCACAUCAUUCCGAACUCCUUCAAGUUCUCUUUGGUACUGAGAUUCGGGUUGUGACCUUCCUUCGUUUUCCAUUCUUGCUCUUUGCCGAGUGUAGUGGACUUUGGAAGGGGGACCUAUGUUUCACGAUCUGGAAUGCAUAUGAUAAAUUAAAAAUAUGUGAUGAGAAUGUGAUGCAUAUGUAAUGUGUAUAUAUGCAUAUUUUAUGAGCUGAUUCAUGACUUUCGUAACCUUUAAGCAAGAUUUCUGAGUUGACCCGAUUACCAUAAAGGAGGGUUUGCCAAGUUCUUAUCAUAGUGGCUUACCAAACCCAUUAAGAAAGGAAAUACGUCAUGGACUUCUUAUAAAUAACAAACUUGCUCAUACAAAACAAUAAUGGGAAAGAGAGUCCUAUACAUUGCUACCUCUAAAAAGCAUUUCCUCUAUUAGCUAAAUCCCCAAUAAAACAGGCCAUUGCCCCCAUGUAUUCUCGAUACUUUGAAGCAUCAUUUCCGACUUGGGUGGCUUGUUGUUGCAACCUUUCUGCAUAACGGGCUACUUGCUCAACCUGUUUUUCCAUGUGUCUUAUUCUGGCAUGGAAUACGGUGUUAUCUUCGAUUAUUGCUUCGUUGCUGGCUCCUAAGGCUUCGUUGCUUCUUUCCAAUACUCGCACCAUACCCUCUGAUUGUGCCAACUUAUCUCUUGUUCUUUGUAGCUCUUCCUUUUCAAUAUCCAGCUCUGCUAUUUUGGAAUUGAUUUGAACUGCAAAGCUGUCCAUGUAGUCUUGGCAUUCUUGACGCUCUUGCUUAGCCUUACUCAUCUCUUCUUCCAUCUCGAAGUAGUGGCUUCUCAACUCCCUUAACUCUUCUUCUCGUACCUCGAUCUCCGCUUGUAAAGCCCUCAUCCUUCCUUUUGAAGACUCAGCUCUCUUCUGGUAAUCUCUCAUGUCAGACUCAGCGGCCAUUCUUGCAUUUCUUUCUUCCUCUAGUUGCACCAUGUAUUGAGCUCUAACCUUCCUUUCUUCUUCUAUGUCGAGGUUGGCUAGACGAUUCUUCUCCUUUUCAACUUCUAUUUUCUUUAAAAGAAGUUUCCUUCCCUUCUUCAAAGAAUCCAUUGUCUCCUUAUCAACAUUCACGCCUUUUGUUGCCCUCUUAACCUUAGCCAAUUCUUUUUCUGCUAUCCCAUUCUUCUUGACCAACUCAUCAUAAUCAGCUAUUCGAUUCCUUAACUCAGCCUGGACCCCCGUUGUUAUGUCUUCAGCUACCUCAGCCCUUUUCUGCCAUUCCUUUAGAGACAUUAGCUGCUUCUCUUGUUUUUCUAACCGCUGAUUCAAGAAAACCCUCAUCGUAUUUUCCUCCUCUAGCUGGUUCUCUAACAAUUGUUGUCGCCCCUUACUUUUGCUGAGUUCUAUUACACACUGAUCUAGCUGCUUUCUUAGAUCUUCCUCAUCAUCCUUUCUUUUCCUUUUCUGUGUUUCUAUCGCUGCCUCUGACUGUUCUUGUGUAGAGAGACCCUUUACUUCAGAAAAAUCCUCAUUCCUCCAAACUGUAUAAUUAUGGCUGAAUGAGGUUUCAAAACUGCUUCCUUCUUCUCUUUUCACCUUCACGGGUCUUUCCCAAUCCUGUCGGAUAAGCUCCAUUUCUUUGAUGAACGGUUGGUGCUUGAAUAACCCAAUGAAAUCAGCUAAACCCAAGGUUCUUGGCGUAUAUUGCAUUCCGCCUAACUGCCUUGUUACGAGGGCGGGCGCAUAGCUGAUGUAACCAGUUACACCAAUUAAAGGAACCCAUAUCUUGCUUCCGCAGCUCAUUGUGCAAAUAGCGUUGUUCAUCCACGGUGCUUUCCAUUUGAAGUUGCUACUUGGCAAUGCUGCAUACUUAUCCCUCCAUGCCUUCUCAUCCCAAUUCUUCCAAGUCUCAUCUAUGGUAAUCUUUAACGGUCGCAAGUCAAACCACCAAAAGUUGUUGAAGAUGUCUCUUGGUGCUUCGAUAUGACUGAUUAUCCAUAGGUACAACAUAGGGACGCAGCACCUCAUAGCUCCUUUUCCAUGUGUUCGGCAGUGAUUAAGAGAUAACAUGGUUUCCCCCAAGAUGGCUGAGGAAGGAUUGAUCCGGUCAUGCUCAUAUUCGAUGAAGACACUCGCUGCUUCUAAACUGAUGACCCCAAUUUCAGAAGGGAACAACACUAGCCCAAAAAUGGCGAAGGCCACCAACCUAUAUCGUUCGUCUCCCAACUUGCCUUCUUCGGCAUUUUUCUUCAUUCGAGCUUCAAUGAUCUUCCAUUUAAAACCCCCUUCAGCAACUCUACACUGGCUGAUCUUUCCUAAGCCUAAUAAACUGACUACUUCCGAAGCUGUAUCUUCAAAUCUGCGUCGGCGGUAGAUUCGGCAGUUGUCAUUUGGAAAAUCCAGGAUUCUCUCAUAUUCUUCCAAGGUGGGUGUCAUAUCGAUGUUUCCAAAGGUAAAGCAACGAUAACUGGGAUCCCAAAAAUUCAGAAGGGCUUUGAUCGCCGCUGCUUGUACAGGCAACUUCAUUAUAUGUGCAAUCCUCCCAUAUCGCCUUUCAAACAGGGUCUCGUCAACAUAUUCCAUGAUAGGCAAUAACUUUCCUAAAUCGUUUACCAUGUGAUUUACCUUGGUAAUGCAUGGUAACCCACUAGCAUCGAUUCUUGGGCAUUUUCCUUCGGCGAUCUGAGCCAACUCAGACUCUUGUCCAUAUUCUUGGAAAGAGAGGUACGUAGUCAUGAUUUCAGCUCAAAACCUAGGUUAAUGAAUUUAACAAUUAAUCGUGAUGCAAAUGAAAAUAAGAUUCAUAACCUAAAGACAAGCUCUAUUUAUUAAGUGAGAGAGGGUAGUUUUUCUAUCUGGUCUCGAAGGGUCUCAUAUCUGCCCAGUGACAUUCUUCGUAAAGAAGUAUGGGGGCGUUGCAAGGAACAAUUAAGACACGUAUGCCCACCAUUACCAAGCAGGCACUCAGAUAUGAGUUGGGUGUUUCACGCAUUUAAGCCCUGACCAAUAGUCUUAGGGUAAAUCGCUAAUUCCCCACUUAACUUAAAGCUUGUGUGUGCUUUUCAAAAUUAAGGCAAGUGAUGCAUGAAACAAUUGUAUACAAUGCAUGAAUAAUAUAUGUCAAAUAAAAAAUAAAUACGCAAAUAAAAGGAAAGGCAAUAAACAAAAAAAAAAACCAACAAAUCAGACAAAAACAAAGCUUAGUCUACAACGUCCCCAGUGGAGUCGCCAUUCUGUCGCACCCCAAAAAAAUAUUGUUUUUCAAUAUUGCGGGUUCGACUGGCGAAAUUUUUUAUUUUUUUUUAUUUGGUUCUUUGGAGUCGCCACCUAGUAUUUUGGUCACUAGGAACCUAACUGGUCUCAGAGAUCGGGUACGGAGACUGGUUGCGUAAAGGGAAGGUAUUAGCACCCCAAAUACGCCCUACCUAAGGUAAGCUGCAUUGUUUUAUUGUCUGAUAAAAAAAAACUAAAGUGUUAUUGUGUUUUCCUAGUUGUUGGUCUGUCUAUGGUUCAAGAAAAAUCCCCUCAGUAAGGAGGUCUUUAUCUUAUCGGGUAAAAUCCUAACCGUUCUAACGUCAUACCAAAAUUUUAUUAAUAAUAUUUAGGAAUACGUUUUACGUAUAAAUUCGUAAUCCCAAAUACUAAAAGAAAACAAAAAGAUUUUUUAGAAUUUUUGAAAUAUUGGCCUAGUUCUCAUGGCUUGAAUAAACUGGUUAUUAAAGCCAAAAUGCAUGUUAAUACAUAUAUUGUUUUGAAAAUUUUCUUUGUUGUGUGAAAAUAUGAUGUUAUAUUUAUGUAUAUAUAUUGGAGAGACUAGGCCGUAUUUUAAAACAAAAAAACAAUUUUUGGAAAAUAUUUUUUUUUAUGCUUUGACGAAAAUCGGGUAUUUUAAUACUGAGCUUGUAUCCUUACGGUAUAAAAAUACAACCCAAUAUUAACCAUUUUGAUAAAAAUAUGCAGAAAAAUCAACAUUUUUUAGGGAUUUUUAGAAAUUUUUUGAAAGCAAAAACAUUUUUUAUUCUGAAAAUCUUUGAUAUUUUGACGAAAACCGGGUAUUUUUAACACUGGUUUUGUAUCUUUACAGUAUAAAAAUACAAACCAAAUGUUAAAACAACAAUAUUUAUAUGAAAAGAAAAUAACAACAAAAUUUUUUUUUAGAUUUUUUUUAAAAAAAUGUAUUAUAUUAUUUAACAUAUAAUAAUAAUAAUAUAAUAUAAUUAUAUAUUUAUAUAUUAAAAGGGCUGGGCCGGCCCAAACAAACUGGGCCGGACCCAGCCCUAACAGUCGUUGGGCCGACCUCGGCCCAACAGGUACUGGGCCGAACUCGGCCCAGAAGGUACUGGGCCGAACUCGGCCCAGAAACUAAUUAACCUCGGUCUGGGCCGGACCCGGCCCAGACCGCCGGACUGGGCCAGAUCCCUCUGGCCCGUCCACAUAACUCUGGGCCAGAGAAAAAAUAAAAAGAAAACACGGAUUCCCCCCCCCGCCUCCUGCAUGCAGAACGAUUCUGCAUGCAGGAGGCAAAACAUAUAUAUAUUAACAGAAAAAAUGCAGGGGGAGGAGAGGAGGCGUACCUGGUGCUGGCGGAGCUGCGGUGGUGGUGGCAGUGUCCUCGCUUCACGGACGGCGGUUUCUCUCUCCUCUGUUACAGGGUUUCUCUCUCUUCCUCUCUCUCUUCGUUUUUUUUUUCUUUGUUUCGGGGUUCCUCUCUUUCUCCCUUUUUUUCGUCCCGUGUUCUCCCUUUCAGUCCUCUAUUUAUAGCACCAUGGGCGGGGCUUUUUUCUCGUGGACCCAGGAGCGGGUUGAGGAGCGGCUGUCGGGGAGCGGCGGGCCUCCCUCGGCUUCGGCCACGAGGCGGGUUGUCGGCCAUUGUUUCUGUCGGUGGCCCACCGGCGUAGGGUCUCUGUCGAUUGGUAAGGGGGACCUGCAAAAAAGAAUAAAAAAUACAAAGUUUUUUUUUUUUUUCCUUCCCCGCUGACGUUCGGGGGGAAGAAGACAGUGAACAGUGCCGUUCAAAACGGCACCGUUCGGUUUCCCCCUUUUUUUUUUUUUUUUUAAUAAUUAUGCAUGAAACGGCGUCGUUUUGGACAAAACGCGCCGUUUCAUUUAAAAAAAAAAAGCCAGAAACUUUGUUUUUAAAUCAGUCCCUAAUUUGUCAUUUGUUCUAUUAAGUCCUUCAAUCGAGUCCUUCAAUCAAGAAUACAAUUCAAUUGCGUCCCUGCCAAAUUCGGUCCCUACCCUAUAGUUGGCCGCGUUUUUCACUUUGGUCCUUGGCCUCUGAUUUUCACAAUUAAGCCCUUAAUUGAUCAAAAAACUUCCAAUUUCUUCAAUUAAGCCCCUGAAACAAUUCCAAACCCCCCUGCGCCUUCUCCAAAUUGGUCCCUGGUUUCGGAUUUUCACAAUUAAGUCCCUAAUUGGCCAUUAAACUUCAAUAUUUAUGCAAUUAAGCCCCUGAUUUGACCCAAUAAAUUCCUAAAAAAUAUAUUUUGGCCCCAGAACUUAAAUUUCUCCAAAUUAAAGCCCAAAUUGACUUAAAAAUCAAUUUUUCUUGGAAUCAAAUCUUCUAUAAAUUCAAAAUAAAAAUCCAAUUAAGUCCAUAAAAAUCCAAUUAAGCCCAUAAAAAUCCAAAUUUGGGCUUUUCUCCCUAAAAUUCAAAUUUUUCUUCUCAAUAGGGCUUUCAUCCUUCAAGAAUAUACUGUCAAAAAUUCAAUCCUUGUAUUUUUAAAUUCCUUGACCAAUUUUCUAACUGUUUUCCGGGCGCUUCUGCCUCCGGUUAUUUUUCUAAUCCUCUUUUGGUUAUUUAUUUUAUUUUUCAGGGGGACCCAAAAAUGGGUUACAACAUCCAGUAUACAAAACACCCAUGUUCAUGGGCACCCACCAACCACCAGUGAAGUGCAACAAUCACUAGAGAAGAAUAGAUUUGAGAUAGGCUGAGGGGCUGAGUUGCUAGGAGGAGCUUUAAUUUUUUAGGGUUUUCUUUUUUUCUCGGUGAUAACUGAGAUUAUCGAAAAAAAACUUGAACCAGAUGUAGAAUAGGAAUACACAGUUCACAAAGAAGGAAGCUAAAGAAAUGUUUAUCUCAGGGCUAACGGGAAAAUCCCGAACACCGUCUUUAAUAGCUACUGAUUCGAGAACAAGAACCAUGGCAUUCGAUGCAGCCUACUCCCGCCUUUGUCCUAAGAGCUGAGCCAAUAGCAGGGCAUUCAAUAGCAGCAGUAGCCUAGGUAAUGGUUGGUGGUAAAUGGUGGUCUUGAGUCUUGACUUUUCUAGAUCUUUGAUUUUAUUUUUAUUUUUGAAUAGGUGUGGACCGUGUGGUUGUUGGAACAAUAAUAUUUAAGGGCAUGUUUGGUUGGCGUG
rnacentral:lncRNA from 1 species